rnacentral:lncRNA from 1 species
AUGUUGAACUUCAGGUGGGUUCUUUACCACUGGUGCCACCUGGAAAGCCCCCAAAUGAGAAAUACUUCUCCUGAAAUCAAAGCUGGGUGCCCAGGCCCUGGUGCUAUCAGCCUAGCCCAGUUUUGCUCUGGAAUCACCUCAUUGAUUUCCCAUUUUCUUCCCUGGACACAGUCUACUUGCAAAAGACCAAAGGGUGGAGCUGGGAGAUGGAGUAAGUUUGGCUUAUUUUCUAAGUUGAAGGAAAAUUCAGAGGCAAAGUCAGCAGGCUUUCUUGUGAGAAUUUGGGUCUACUGACUUCUCCUGUCUUGGGCAGUGAGCCAGCCAACUCCUGUGGGGCUGUUUGGGCAGAGCUUCUCUAGUUGUUUGUCUGCAGAAGACUCUCAGGUAUGUCCAUGCUCUGAGAUAAUUGAGUGAUUUUGUGUUUGCAUUUUGAUGAUCAUUGAAAAUGAUUCUUAUACCAGUUAUUCACCCCAAUUCAUAGCUAGACGAUCCUUUAGUAGAAUAAACUAUUGGUGUCUUCAGUAAACAUUUGUCAAAUAGCAAGCAUUUCUUUUUCCUCUUUCAAAUGGAAGGGUGCUUGAUGAAGCAAAAACUUUAUUUCCUAUUGCUUUAUAGAGGUGGAGAACUCAUGCCAUUGUCUUGGAGCCUUAAGGUUCCUUCUCCUCUAUUAUUUCCCUAGUGUUUCCACCACAACCCUGUGAAGUAAGGAUUAUUAAGCCCCUUUGAGCAUAAGGAAACAGAGGGUCAGAGAGGAUGAGUGACUUUCAAGGAUACACAGAGAUUUGAUCUGAGGACUGGGGUCCUCAUAUGUAUACCAUGAUAUCAGGCUUUUCAUGAGUUUGGCCCUCCCAGUAACAGCUCCUUGUCUCUAACUCCUUUGAGAGUUCCAGAUUCUGGUUCUCAUUGCUUUGGAUCAGUGUUUGAAAUGGUUAACACUGAAAGUGGCUAUGUUGAUUUUGUUGAGAUGGUCAUCUAGGUCCCAGAUUUAACCAGGCAAAUAUUGAGUCAUGUACUCCUGGAACAUUCAUCUCUUCUCAGAAAUGAAGACUUGCUCCAUCCUCAGUAGAUAAGCCUUCUGCUCCUGGCAGGCUCAGGUUCACAAGGUGCCAUUUAUUAAGCACCUGCCAUGUUCCAAGGCAUGGUAGGAUCCUUUCUUCUAACCUUAUAGCAACUCUGUGAGGUAGGUGGUUUUGUACAUUUUACAGAUAAGGAAGCUGACACCCAGCACAUUCAUGUAAUUUGCCAGGGUCAUGCUGAUAGCCGAUGAAGCUAGGAUCCAGAUUCGUCUGACUCCAAGGCUGGAUUUGCAGGAAAUUUGGCUCUACUCUUCCAAGUGGCGCCUUGUGUGUGGGCCUUCACCAUCUUAGUCCUGAUCCUCAUCUCAUGAGUGUGGGGGUGGGUAGGGAGUGGGGUGCACCUGGGUUGGCUUGACCUCUGGACCCUGAAUCAAACCUGAGUUGGGAUUCUGGCUCUGUCUCUUUAUAGCAGAGUGAUUGUGGAGAAAUCCACAGCCUCAUUUGUAAAAUAAAUUAGACAAUUAUAGUAUUGUUUUGAUCGUUAAUCAAGUACUUGUCACAGUGCCUGGCCUGUAAUAGUUGCCCAAGAAGCAGUGACUACUAUUUGUUUAUUGGUCACGUACUCUCAGGGAGUGGAGAAGAGGGUUUUAGGGAUGGGCAGGUCUGCCCCCGCCACCUGCUCCCCCACACGGCUGAACUGGCACAGCACCAUGUCAGCUCGGUAGCUCCCUUCCCUGCUCUGAAGCUCUUGAUCUGCUGUCCACUGCACCUCUGGUGAAAGCCAGACUCUCCUACCUGUUGCUGUGCCUCACUGUGAGGCUUGAAGCUCCCUUUCAGCUUCACCUCCCGGCGCUCAGCUUUGUCUUGGAGCCUUAAGGUUCCUUCUCCUCUAUUAUUUCCUAGUGUUUCCACCACAACCCUGUGAAGUAAGGAUUAUUAAGCCCCUUUGAGCAUAAGGAAACAGAGGGUCAGAGAGGAUGAGUGACUUUCAAGGAUACACAGAGAUUUGAUCUGAGGACUGGGGGUCCUCAUAUGUAUACCAUGAUAUCAGGCUUUUUCAUGAGUUUGGCCCUCCCAGUAACAGCUCCUUGUCUCUAACUCCUUUGAGAGUUCCAGAUUCUGGUUCUCAUUGCUUUGGAUCAGUGUUUGAAAUGGUUAACACUGAAAGUGGCUAUGUUGAUUUUGUUGAGAUGGUCAUCUAGGUCCCAGAUUUAACCAGGCAAAUAUUGAGUCAUGUACUCCUGGAACAUUCAUCUCUUCUCAGAAAUGAAGACUUGCUCCAUCCUCAGUAGAUAAGCCUUCUGCUCCUGGCAGGCUCAGGUUCACAAGGUGCCAUUUAUUAAGCACCUGCCAUGUUCCAAGGCAUGGUAGGAUCCUUUCUUCUAACCUUAUAGCAACUCUGUGAGGUAGGUGGUUUUGUACACAUUUUACAGAUAAGGAAGCUGACACCCAGCACAUUCAUGUAAUUUGCCAGGGUCAUGCUGAUAGCCGAUGAAGCUAGGAUCCAGAUUCGUCUGACUCCAAGGCUGGAUUUGCAGGAAAUUUGGCUCUACUCUUCCAAGUGGCGCCUUGUGUGUGGGCCUUCACCAUCUUAGUCCUGAUCCUCAUCUCAUGAGUGUGGGGGUGGGUAGGGAGUGGGGUGCACCUGGGUUGGCUUGACCUCUGGACCCUGAAUCAAACCUGAGUUGGGAUUCUGGCUCUGUCUCUUUAUAGCAGAGUGAUUGUGGAGAAAUCCACAGCCUCAUUUGUAAAAUAAAUUAGACAAUUAUAGUAUUGUUUUGAUCGUUAAUCAAGUACUUGUCACAGUGCCUGGCCUGUAAUAGUUGCC